rnacentral:tRNA from 2 species
GCGGACAUGGCGGAAUUGGCAGACGCGUAAGAUUCAGGUUCUUAUGGUCGAAAGGCUGUGCAGGUUCAAGUCCUGUUGUCCGCACCA